rnacentral:SRP_RNA from 1 species
AGCCGGGCCUCAUACAUCGGUCGGCGGUGAACCUGGUCAGGCCGGAAGGAGCAGCCAUAAGCCGUUUGAGCGAGUGCCAUGACAAGCCCGGCCCCU